rnacentral:tRNA from 1 species
GGGCCAGUAGCUCAGUUGGUAAGAGCGUCCGCCUGAUAAGCGGGAGGUCUGAGGUUCAAAUCCUCAUUGGCCCACCA